CCAGCAGCUAUCCCUGCAGCCUCUCCUCGACGUGCAUCCCAACUGCGGAGCGCACACCACCCGCUCUGCCUUCCUGCCACUCCUCAGUGUCUCACCACCCUCAACUCAGAUUUAUUACAGGCUUGUCCAUAAGCCUACCUCUAGUGAAAAUGACAAAGAAACACCUUGCUGGAAGGUAUGGCCAAAGUGUUACAAGUUCAAGAAGCUGGACUUGUGGCUUCGUUGGAAGAAUGCUUGCUUAACAUCCUCAGCACUGCAUGAAGCCAUAUGUCUGCAAGCCCAGCGUGUUGGAGACGGAGCUAGUAAGACCAGCAGUCAAGGUCAUCCGAAGCUGCAUAUAGGUUCAGAUGCCAGCCUGGGCUAUGGGAGACCCUACCUCAAAC
rnacentral:lncRNA from 1 species